rnacentral:rRNA from 1 species
UACGUAGGAGGCUAGCGUUGUCCGGAUUUAUUGGGCGUAAAGAGCGUGUAGGCGGCCAGGUAGGUCUGCUGUGAAAACUCGAGGCUCAACCUCGAGACGUCGGCGGAAACCAUCUGGCUAGAGUCCGGAAGAGGAGAGUGGAAUUCCUGGUGUAGCGGUGAAAUGCGCAGAUAUCAGGAAGAACACCCGUGGCGAAGGCGGCUCUCUGGGACGGUACUGACGCUGAGACGCGAAAGCGUGGGUAGCAAACAGG